rnacentral:rRNA from 1 species
ACUGCUAUCGGUGUUCGCCUAAGCCAUGCGAGUCAUAUGUAGCAAUACAUGGCGUACUGCUCAGUAACACGUGGAUAACCUGCCCUUGGGUCCGGCAUAACCCCGGGAAACUGGGGAUAAUUCCGGAUAACGCACAUAUGCUGGAAUGCUUUAUGCGUAAAAUGGAUUCGUCUGCCCAAGGAUGGGUCUGCGGCCUAUCAGGUAGUAGUGGGUGUAAUGUACCUACUAGCCGACGACGGGUACGGGUUGUGAGAGCAAGAGCCCGGAGAUGGAUUCUGAGACAUGAAUCCAGGCCCUACGGGGCGCAGCAGGCGCGAAAACUUUACAAUGCGGGAAACCGUGAUAAGGGGACACCGAGUGCCAGCAUCAUAUGCUGGCUGUCCAGGUGUGUAAAAUACACCUGUUAGCAAGGGCCGGGCAAGACCGGUGCCAGCCGCCGCGGUAACACCGGCGGCCCGAGUGGUGAUCGUGAUUAUUGGGUCUAAAGGGUCCGUAGCCGGUUUGGUCAGUCCUCCGGGAAAUCUGAUAGCUCAACUAUUAGGCUUUCGGGGGAUACUGCCAGACUUGGAACCGGGAGAGGUAAGAGGUACUACAGGGGUAGGAGUGAAAUCUUGUAAUCCCUGUGGGACCACCUGUGGCGAAGGCGUCUUACCAGAACGGGUUCGACGGUGAGGGACGAAAGCUGGGGGCACGAACCGGAUUAGAUACCCGGGUAGUCCCAGCCGUAAACGAUGCUCGCUAGGUGUCAGACAUGGCGCGACCGUGUCUGGUGCCGCAGGGAAGCCGUGAAGCGAGCCACCUGGGAAGUACGAUCGCAAGAUUGAAACUUAAAGGAAUUGGCGGG